rnacentral:rRNA from 2 species
AGCAACUUGGAGGGAUGUAUAGGGAAAACCGGUAAAAAGGUAAUGUACCUAUAGUAUUAGUAACUGAUAUGAUAUUAACAAAGUUAAUUAAAAUUCUAAGUGGAUAUUGAUUAUGACAGUAUUUACUGAUGUCUUGACCAAAUCACGUGCCAGCAGUCGCGGUAAUACGUGGAAGAUAAGUGUUAUUCAUCUUUACUAGGUUUAAAGGGUACCUAGACGGUAAAUAAAACACAAAAUGUAUUUAUUAACUAGAGUUUGAUGUAAGAAAGAUUGAGUACGGUGAGUGUAGAGAUAAAAUUCUGUGAUACCACUUUGGAACUGGUAAAGGCGAAGGCUACUUUCUAUGUAAAAACUGACGUUGAGGGACGAAGGCUCGAAAAAAAGAACAGGAUUAGAUACCCUAGUAUUGUGAGCAGACAAUGAUGAGUGUCAUAUGCAAGAAUCCUAAAAUUCUAUAAUUUUUUGUGUAUAAAUGAAAGUGUAAGCAUUCCACCUUAAGAGUAACAUGGCAACAUGGAAACUGAAAUCAUUAGACCGUUUCUGAAACUCGUAGUGAAGUAUGUUGUUUAAUUUGAUGAUCCGCAAAUAACCUUACCACAACUUGUAUUACUAUCAGUAAAGUCUGGCAUACUAUGCCCAUUAUAGUAUGCCUUAGUAGCAAUCGUAGAUAAAUGUAUUGUUAAAAUAAUUCUCUAAUUUGUGUAAUUUUGGGUCUACUUACCUUUGGAGCAUGGCCUAAGAUAAGUAGUACAUAAGUAGCUAAAGAGAUUAAGAGUUUACUAGUAGCAACAAGCGUUGCACGGCUGUCUUCAGUCAAUGUUGUGAAACUGUGGUUAGAUCCAUUAAAUUGACGUAAACCCUUACUUUAUUUGUGAUAAAGUGGUUCGCCGCUAUACUGGUAGUGAUAUAAGGACUAAGACAAGUCAUCAGCUGGCA